GUGAAGAACGCAGCGAAAUGCGAUAAGUAAUGUGAAUUGCAGAAUUCAGUGAAUCAUCGAAUCUUUGAACGCACAUUGCGCCCGCCAGUAUUCUGGCGAGCAUGCCUGUUCGAGCGUCAUUUCAACCAUCAAGCCCCAGGCUUGUGUUGGAGCCCUGCGGCUGCCGCAGCCUCCCAAAACCAGUGGCGGGCUCGCUAUCACACCGAGUGCAGUAGUUUACUCUUCGCUCAGGGCGUGUGGCGGGUGCUAGCCGUGAAACCCCCAACUUCUCAAGGUUGACCUCGGAUCAGGUAGGAAUACCCGCUGAACUUAAGCAUAUCAAUAAGCGGAGG
rnacentral:misc_RNA from 1 species